rnacentral:rRNA from 1 species
UACGUAGGGUGCGAGCGUUGUCCGGAAUUAUUGGGCGUAAAGAGCUCGUAGGCGGUUUGUUGCGUCGGCCGUGAAAACCUGCAGCUUAACUGUGGGCCUGCGGCCGAUACGGGCAGACUUGAGUUCGGUAGGGGAGACUGGAAUUCCUGGUGUAGCGGUGAAAUGCGCAGAUAUCAGGAGGAACACCGGUGGCGAAGGCGGGUCUCUGGGCCGAUAUCGACGCUGAGGAGCGAAAGCGUGGGGAGCGAACAGG